GACGAACGCUGGCGGCGUGCCUAAUACAUGCAAGUCGAACGCUGAAGGAGGAGCUUGCUUCCCUGGAUGAGUUGCGAACGGGUGAGUAACGCGUAGGUAACCUGCCUCGUAGCGGGGGAUAACUAUUGGAAACGAUAGCUAAUACCGCAUAAUAGUAGAUGUUGCAUGACAUUUGCUUAAAAGGUGCAAUUGCAUCACUACCAGAUGGACCUGCGUUGUAUUAGCUAGUUGGUGGGGUAACGGCUCACCAAGGCGACGAUACAUAGCCGACCUGGGAGGGGGAUCGGCCAAACUGGGACUGGGACACGGCCCAGACCCCUAGGGGAGGCAGCAGUAGGGAAUCUUCGGCAAUGGACGGAAGGCUGACCGAGCAACGCCGCGGGAGUGAAGAAGGGUUUCGGGUCGUAAAGCUCUGUUGUAAGGGAAGAACGAGAGUGAGAGUGGAAAGUUCACACUGUGACGGUACCUUACCAGAAAGCGACGGCUAACUACGUG
rnacentral:rRNA from 1 species